GCCAGGCGGUCAGCAUUGAAGGGCCGCCCUGCGCCCAUUCGCCCGCUGGUUUCAAGGCCCGGGUUGGCUGGGCGGGCAGCAGAAAGAGGCGCGCGGAUUGGUCGGGGGGAGGGAGAUUGGGGUGGGGCAGGCGGGAGCCGGCCGCUGAUUGGGUUGGCCUGGUAAAGGCCUUGAGCUCAGACCGGCUGAGCGCUGGGAGGAGGGUGGACCAAAGGCGAGACUCCGGGCCCGCGUGAUUGGCUGGGACCCCAGACGUUGAUAGGAUAGGGCGCCGGGGAGAACUGGGGAGAGGAGUUCGGGGUCGGGGCCGCGUAAAGGCGGGAGGCGCCCCGCCGCUUCAGGAGCCUAGCGCGGGGCACGAUGGGACGCCCCCGGGAAGGGGCGGAGCCGUGUUCGGGCUGCGGUUGGGAAAGCGCCGUCACUCCAAGGGGCGUGUUGAGGAGGGUUUCGCGGGCCCUAGCGGGGGAGGGGGGGACCGUUAAAGCCUUGCACCGCGCCCACAGGAAGCUGCUCUCAUGGCCAGGCCUACUUGGUAUCAGGCUCUCAGCUGGGAAGGACCUUGAAGACCAUGCGGUUCAACUUCCAGUUUGCAGGUGUGGAAACUGAAGCCCAAAGAGGCUCUAUGCCCAGCAUGAGGCUUGACCUCACACUCGGAAAGUGGAGCAUCUCCAGCUCUAUCCAAUGAGCCAACCAGACACGCCCAAGCCCAAUGCUGGAACCAGAAAUUCAAUGGUGAAAGCUACAGCCACCAGAUGCCACCAAGAGAACUACAGGGGCAACCAGACCUUUUUCCAAGUAGCACUUACAACCCAGUCGACUCUCCUUCCCCUGACUCUGCCCUCGAUCCCAUUUGCCAUCACAUGUACCAGUGGAACCACCCAUCUUCUAGUUGGGUUUCCAAGGGAAAACAAUUGCUUGGCCUCAUGUGUUAGUAACACCAGGGUCUCCUAUCGCUUAUGCUUGUGUUUGAAAACAAACACCUUGACCAGUCUGUGUCAACCGGCGGCGGUACAAGAAGGCACAGUCCAUCUUGGGUUGAGUUUUUGUACCAUCACAAGAGAAGAACAACAACAACACUGAGAGCCUAAAACCAGUACAUAGCAAGAGGAGAUUCAUUUCUCCCCAAAUAAUCUAUUAUUCGGUCAGAAACGAGGUUGUCUGUAAGUACAGACUCAGUGCUAUAAAUAGAUGAUCAGAAGCUUGCUUUUAUUUUCUGCCCUAAGAAAAAUAAUCACUCACCCUACAGAGGUGGCUCCAAGUCUUUCUGAUAACAUUCUAGGACCUGUUUGGCUACUAGAACUGAAAGAACUCUUUUAAAGUUACAGAACUCCUCUCAUACCCCCUAAAUUGCACACUACAGAGACACAUUCUUUACAAAUAAUUUCAAAGGGUUCCUUGCAGCCUAAAACCCAUCCUGGAAACUGGAAAUUUAAGAAUUCAUCCUAAUUUAAGAAAUUUAAGAAUUCAGCCUAAGAAAAUCCAAUUUCUCCAGCGCAGCUAUGAGUAUGGCCCCUAGACAGGAAAGCCUUGAUAUACGGGAAUCGGUAAGUCUCCAGUUAACUCCUGAAUGCUAACUCUAAGUAUCUCCACAAGAUUUCUGAGCAUCCAGAACGAAUUUAGAAGGAAUCUUAGGAUUUUUCUCUUUAGGUAUCACUCAUUAAGCAAUUCAGAAAUUGGAUUUUCUUAGGCUCAGAAAAUCCUCUGGUUGUAAAACUUCUUAUAAUCCUAGUGAAUGACAGGAAAGUUUAUAGUUUCUUAUGAAAGAGAAUAAAAGAAAUCAGGACAUCAAUUUCACAUUGACAUUUUUAUUAACGCCAACUGUUUUUUAAUUAUUAUUUUUUUAAAACAAUAGCACAAAAAUGUUUCAAGGAAGCAGUCUCACAAUCUGAUGACCUUCUGAAAUACAGUCAAGCCACACCAAAUAUGAAAUUCCUGUUAAUAACACAAAACAAAUAUUUUUAAAAAGGAAAAUAAAAAGAAGAGGAAA